GAUUCAGUGAGUAGCUUGCUACGAACUGAUGAGAGUGGCGCACGGGUGCGUAACGCGUGAGCAACCUACCCAUAUCAGGGGGAUAGCCUCUCGAAAGAGAGAUUAACACCGCAUAACAUCAUUUACCGGCAUCGGUUUUUGAUCAAAUAUUUAUAGGAUAUGGAUGGGCUCGCGUGACAUUAGCUAGUUGGAGAGGUAACGGCUCACCAAGGCUACGAUGUCUAGGGGCUCUGAGAGGAGAAUCCCCCACACUGGUACUGAGACACGGACCAGACUCCUACGGGAGGCAGCAGUAAGGAAUAUUGGUCAAUGGAGGCAACUCUGAACCAGCCAUGCCGCGUGCAGGAUGACUGCCCUAUGGGUUGUAAACUGCUUUUGUCAGGGAAUAAACCUUUCUACGUGUAGAAAGCUGAAUGUACCUGAAGAAUAAGGAUCGGCUAACUCCGUGCCAGCAGCCGCGGUAAUACGGAGGAUCCAAGCGUUAUCCGGAUUUAUUGGGUUUAAAGGGUGCGUAGGCGGUCCUAUAAGUCAGUGGUGAAAGACGGCAGCUUAACUGUCGCAGUGCCUUUGAUACUGUAGGACUUGAAUCUAUUUGAAGUGGGCGGAAUAAGACAAGUAGCGGUGAAAUGCAUAGAUAUGUCUUAGAACUCCGAUUGCGAAGGCAGCUCACUAAGUUAGUAUUGACGCUGAUGCACGAAAGCGUGGGGAUCAAACAGGAUUAGAUACCCUGGUAGUCCACGCCCUAAACGAUGAUAACUCGAUGUUUGCGAUACACAGUAAGCGUCCAAGCGAAAG
rnacentral:rRNA from 1 species